rnacentral:rRNA from 1 species
AGAGUUUGAUCCUGGCUCAGAUUGAACGCUGGCGGCAUGCCUUACACAUGCAAGUCGAACGGUAGCGGGCCUUCGGGUGCCGACGAGUGGCGAGCGGGUGAGUAAUGUAUCGGAACGUACCUUUCAGUGGGGGAUAACGUAGCGAAAGUUACGCUAAUACCGCAUAUUCUGUGAGCAGGAAAGCAGGGGAUCGCAAGACCUUGCGCUGAUUGAGCGGCCGAUAUCAGAUUAGCUAGUUGGUGAGGUAAAGGCUCACCAAGGCGACGAUCUGUAGCGGGUCUGAGAGGAUGAUCCGCCACACUGGAACUGAGACACGGUCCAGACUCCUACGGGAGGCAGCAGUGGGGAAUUUUGGACAAUGGGGGCAACCCUGAUCCAGCCAUGCCGCGUGAGUGAAGAAGGCCUUCGGGUU